AGAUGCACAUCAAGUUGGGGGUCCUCUUAGGUUGGUGCAAAAGUAAUUGCGGCUUUUGCCAUUAAAGUAUGGCAAAA
rnacentral:miRNA from 10 species